rnacentral:rRNA from 1 species
AUCGACACCAAGUUGCGCCGUCCAUUGCCUGCUCCGACCACCGCGUCGCGUCUCCUCCACCAUGUCAUUCUUGGUGACCAUCGCCCCAUCAAUCUCCGGAACCUUCCCCAGCUCUCUGCACGACCCAAGUCUGCAGCAGAUCUUGGUUUCUACUUCAUAUAAGAACACGGGUACAAGUUCCAUCUUGACAAAUACAUCACUACUUUACUAAGAAUCUAAUUUCUCUUCAUUUUGCUGGUUCUGUACU